CAACUUGGAACUCCUGGGCUCAAGCCAUCUUCCCUCCACUGCCUCCAAGUAGCUGGGGACUACAGAUUAUUGCCUGCUCCUCCAAGCCCUUCACUGUAGAAUGGAAGCCUGUGAUUUUCCUGGCAUCAUGCAUGACUGAGAAGGUCAGUGUGGCUAAUUCUGAGCUUCAACAUCAGGAAACCCGUAGUUCUUCACACUGAGCCGCCUCCUGCAGCACAGUCAUCCUUGGUAAUAAAGCUGAUA
rnacentral:lncRNA from 1 species